GGGGGAUAUUGCACAAUGGACGGAAGUCUGAUGCAGCGACGCCGCGUGGGGGAUGAAGGCUUUCGGGUUGUAAACCUCUUUUAUUCCUGAACAAGGCUUGGAUUGUUGUCUGGGUUGAGGGUAGGGGGUGAAUAAGCGCCGGCUAACUACGUGCCAGCAGCCGCGGUAAUACGUAGGGCGCGAGCGUUGUCCGGAUUUAUUGGGCGUAAAGAGCUCGUAGGCGGGUUUGUUGCGUCUGCUGUGAAAACGCGGGGCUUAACUUCGCGCGUGCAGUGGGUACGGGCAGGCUAGAGUGCGGUAGGGGAGAUUGGAAUUCCUGGUGUAGCGGUGGAAUGCGCAGAUAUCAGGAGGAACACCGAUGGCGAAGGCAGGUCUCUGGGCCGUUACUGACGCUGAGGAGCGAAAGCGUGGGGAGCGAACA
rnacentral:rRNA from 1 species